rnacentral:rRNA from 1 species
UACGAAGGGGGCUAGCGUUGUUCGGAAUUACUGGGCGUAAAGCGUGCGCAGGCGGCUGCUCAAGUCAGGGGUGAAAGCCCAGAGCUCAACUCUGGAAUUGCCUUUGAGACUGAGUGGCUUGAAUUCGGGAGAGGGAUGCAGAAUUCCAGGUGUAGCGGUGAAAUGCGUAGAUAUCUGGAGGAAUACCGGUGGCGAAGGCGGCAUCCUGGACCGACAUUGACGCUGAGGAGCGAAAGCGUGGGGAGCGAACAGG